rnacentral:rRNA from 1 species
UCGAUGAAGAACGCAGCGAAAUGCGAUAAGUAAUGUGAAUUGCAGAUUUUCAGUGAAUCAUCGAAUCUUUGAACGCAUCUUGCGCUCCUUGGUAUUCUGAGGAGCAUGCCUGUUUGAGUGUCAUCAAGUUCUCAACCACCAUGUGGCUUGGAUUGGGGUUAUUGUUUGCAGGCUUCAUAUCAAGUCAGCUCCCCUGAAAAGCAUUAGUGGUAUCUGAGCAUAAACUACUAUAGGUGUGAUAACUAUCUAUGCCUUGGUAUAUAAUGCAUAAACAGACUACACUGCUUGCAAACUUUUAAAGUGACAGAUUUGACCUCAAAUCAGGUAGGACUACCCGCUGAACUUAA